AUGUUCCGAUUUAUCAGUGCUUGGCUACAGGUGGUGCUCCGGUAUAUCGCCGCAUGGCUUCAGGCGGCGGCGGCCGCGGCGUCGGCAGCGGCGGAUAAACUGGAUGCUGCGUCGCUCUCGCUUCAGGGGACGGCGGCGAUGGAUUUUCCUGCUACUGUUUCGCUUGGCCCCCUCCACCGGCAGCUCCAUUCAUUCAGGGCCGCCAAGAACAAUCUCCCAAACGGGGUUAGCGAGGGCCAGGUCCGGCGCCUCGAAGAAGAUCUGGAGACACUGUUCACCGAGCUCAAGAUCGUGUCGGAGGCGGACGACCCCAGCUUCACGGCAAGGUGCUGGAUGAAGGAGGUGCGGGAGCUCCGCUACGACGCAGAGGACUUCUUCAACGAGGUCCCGCGCUCCUCCCCCGGCGCCGGCAGAAGCGCUCUUCACACCCUCAUUCUUUCAAUCCCCAGAAAACUGAAGCGGCGGCGCCAGGUUGCAGAAGCUUUCUCAGAUCUGUGUGCUCGUGCCAAGGAUGCGAGUCAAAGACGCCAAAGUUUCCAGCUUGGACCAGCAACCAUCAAACCUGAAUUUGGACAAGUCAAUGUCAGCCGCUCCAAGAGCCUCGGACUUAUUGGCCUUGAGGAGUCCAUGGAUAAGCUUGUCAAGCUGCUGGCUUUGGACGACCAAGAGAUUGCAGAGCUGCUGGCUUUUGACAGUGAAGAUACAGAGCAACUAGUUCAGGUGGUACCCAUCUUUGGAUCUGCAGGUGUUGGCAAAACAACACUUGCCAGAACCUUCUAUCGGAACUUCGGGGGGAAAUUCCAGUGCCGGGCUUUCGUGCGGGUAUCUCGAAAUCCAGAUAUGAGGAGGAUACUUUCCAGCAUGCUCUCACAAAUUAAGGCGCCACCGGUUCAUGGCUUUCCUGAUGUGCAGGACCUUAUUGACCAUGUCAGAGAAUAUCUGCAAUGCAAAAGAUACUUGAUUAUAAUUGAUGACUUGUGGGCCUCCUCGACAUGGGAUAUUAUUAGCCGUGCUUUUCCUGAUGGUGAUUGUUGCAGCAGAAUAAUAGUAACCACGGAAAUCAAGGAUGUAGCAUUGGGAUGCAGUAGGUAUCAGUUUAAGUACAUGUAUGAGAUGAGUCCUCUUAAUGGUGAUCAGUCAAGACAGUUAUUCCUCGGUAGAGUUUUUGGGUCUGAAAAUGGUUGUCCUCCAGAUUUCAAAGAAGUUACAUAUGAGAUUAUUCGAAAAUGUGGAGGUUUACCAUUAGCAACUGAAAAUAUAGCCAGCAUGUUAGCAUGUGAAUUAAACUUUGAUCAAUGGAAGCACAUACGAGAUUCUUUACCCUCUGUUUUGAGAUUGAGGACAGACCCUAGUUCGGAAGGGUUGAAAGAAGUUCUGAACAUUAUUUAUGACAAUCUUUCACCAUAUUUGAAGACAUGCUUGCUAUAUCUUAUUAUGUAUCCAGAGGGAAGCACUAUCAGCAAGGACGAAUUAGUGACACAAUGGGUAAUUGAAGAUUUUAUCGGCGAAGGGCAAGACAGGGAGAAAAUUGCACGGUAUUACUUUGAUGACCUUGUGAGUAGAGGAAUGAUCCAACCUGUUGAUAGAAAUUAUAACGAUGAGGUGUUGACAUGUACAGUUCACCACAUGGUACUAGAUCUUAUUAGGUACAAAUCUCUGGAGGAGAAUUUCAUCAUUAAUGUGAGUUGUUUUCAAACAACUACAGGUCUUCCUGACAAGGUUCGUCGACUGUCUGUCCAGUUCGGUGGUGCAAAAUGUGCAAAUAUACCGGCAGACUUUAUGAUGACUCAAGUUAGAUCGCUUAUAUUUUUUGGCUUCUUGAACUGUGUACCUUCCUUUGUGGAAUAUAAGCUGCUUCGAGUUCUGAUUCUUCAUAUCUGGGCUGAUCAAAGCAAAAUAUUUGACCUCACUAGAAUUAGCGAACUGUUUCAGCUGAGGUAUCUGAAAAUUGAUUGCAACAUCACUGUCCAUUUGCCAGAUGAGAUUCAGCAGCUACGAUUCUUGGAGACAUUAGAAUUGCAUGCACCAGUAAGUGAUAUGCCAUCGGAUAUUAGUUGCUUGCCCUUACUUCGCACUCUGGGCUAUUUUGAUCUCGGCAAGAACUCAAUAGAGAAUGUACAGAGCCUUGGCGAGCUGAACAAUCUCCAAGACCUUCAUCUCACCUGGUCUAACAUAGCAGACCCUGACAACCUGAAGAACAAUAUGCAAUGCCUGGGCUCAAUUCUCCGGAAACUCAGCAACCUCAAGUCUUUAACUCUAGUACGUGCAGCCUCCUCUCAUCCAGAUGUUUUAGACGAUGCUGGUGGUGCAAUCUUGGGUAUUACUGGCGAUGUCUUGAGCAGCGUGUCCUCUCCCCCACCCCUUCUUCAGAGGCUUGAGCUGUCGGGGCGCUGUUGCAUCUUUGCCAGCCUACCCGAGUGGACCAAAGAACUUGGCAAUCUCUGCAUUUUGAAGAUUUCAGUUAGGAAGUUGUUGAGGAAAGAUAUUGAUAUCCUCAAAGGAUUGCCAGCCCUCAUGGCUCUCUCGCUGUACGUUUGGACUGCCCCUGUAGGAAAGGUCGUCUUUGAUAGUGAGGGGUUCUCAAUUCUCAAAUACUUCAGGUUUACAUGUGCUGCCCCAUGCCUGGCAUUUCUGAUAGGAUCAAUGCCUAGUGUCCGGGAGCUUAAGCUAGCAUUCAAUGCUAAUAGAAUGGAGCAAUACAGCCAGAUAGUUGCUGGCUUAGAGUACCUGAUAGAACUUAAAGAGAUAACUGCAAAAGUUGGGGGCACUGGUGCGGAUGAAUCUGAUAAAAGGUACGCGGUGUCGGCAUUGAGUGGCGCCAUUGCCAAUCAUCCAUGCUCUCCUAUAAUCACAGUACAAUGUGUAGAUCGGAUUUUGUAUGGUGAGGACGAUACGAGUGCCGUCACACAAGAACAAGAACACUGGACUCUGGAAGAAGAACAUGAGAUGCAAGAGGAAUCGCUUGAUCCUCUUCCUGAACUUGUUCCCAUUCCAAGCACACAAACACAAAUGAGAGAUGGAAGCCAGAAUGGAGGAACAGAUAGCUCAAGGGAGGUGCUGACACAAACAAGAGAGGGAGUUCAGGAUGAAUUAAUAGAAAGAUCGAUGGAGGUCCUGACAUAUGAACAGGAACAUGUAACUCUGGAAAGACAACACGAGAUUCAUGAGGAAUUGCUUGAUCCUCUUCCUGAAGUUCUUUCAACUUCAAGCACACAGACACAAGUGAGAGAGGAAGUGCGGGAUGGAGAAAUAGAGAGAUCAAUGGAGGUGCUGACACAAGAGCAAGAACAGCAUACCCUGGAACAACAAGAUGAUAUGACAGACAGAGUGCUGAAUGUACAAAUAGGGACAUUGAUGGAGGUGCUAGCACAAGAAGAACAAUGGCGCAAUAAUAUGCAGAAUAGUGGAAUCGGGAAAUCGAUGGCGGUGGUGAGCGCUUCCCAUGGCACCUUGGACCCCCUACUGGACAAGCUCAAUGCUUUGCUCGCCGAGGAGUAUGGCAACUUGGAAGGUGUCCUCCAUGAAGUCAGUGCCCUCAAAUCUGAGCUGACAUUGAUGCAUACGGCGGUGAGAAAGUACACGAUGCUAGAAGAUCCAGAUGUCCAGGUGAAGUUAUGGCUAUCGUUGCUGAGGGAGUUCUCCUAUGAUGCAGAGGAUUACAUUGAUAAGUUCAUUCACCAGCUCGACAAUGGCGGACAUCAUGGCGGAUUCAAGCAGAUCUUCGGCAAGACUGCUUGCCAGCUGAAGACGCUUGGAUCUCAGCAUGAAAUUGCAGAAAAAAUCGAUGAGCUGAAAGAUCGUGCCAAGAACUUGAAAGCGAGUAGUUACAAGAUGGAUGAUACUGCUUGCAUCACAUCUUGCCAUUCCACCGUGGAUCCCCAGUUGGCUGCUCUUUUUGUUGAUUCUGCACACCUUGUGGGCAUUGACAGUCCAAGAGAUGAUCUUGCCAAGUGGACGGUCGAAGUAGGAAACAGCUCAGCCAAGCAUCAUUGCAGGAUGUUAUCUAUUGUUGGGUUUGGCGGAUUGGGAAAGACAACACUAGCGAAUGAGGUGUAUCGCAAGGCUAAAGGGCAUUUCCAUUGUCAGGCUUUUGUAUCAGUCUCACAAAAGCCGGAUAUAAAGAAAAUUCUCAUGAACUUGAUCUCCCAAGUGUCUCCCCAUGGAUUCACGAAAGAUACUUACAAUUGGGACAAAAUGAGAUUAAUUAGAGAGCUAAGAGAACUGCUAAAGGAUAAGAGGUAUCUUGUUGUCAUUGAUGAUAUAUGGUCCAUAUCGGCAUGGAACAUUAUCAAGUGUGCUUUUCCAGAGAAUAACUGUUCUAGCAGAGUUAUAACUACUACACGCAUUAUUGAAGUUGCAAGGUCAUGUUGUAUGGGUCAAGAUGACCGCAUGUAUGAAAUGCAACCCUUGAGUGAUUUUCAUUCUAAAAGAUUGUUCUUGAGAAGAAUUUUUGGGUCCAAGGAUAGUCCCGAUAUGCUGGAAGAAGUUUCAAAUGAAAUUUUGAAAAAAUGUGGAGGCCUACCAUUGGCAAUUAUCAGUGUAUCUAGUUUAUUGGCAAAUAGGCCAGCUAACAAAGAGGAGUGGGAAAAAGUUAGUGCAUUGGACAAAGACAUAGGUCUAGAGGAAAUGAACAGAAUACUAUGCCUUAGCUACAAUGCUCUUCCAGAUAAUCUCAAGACUUGUUUGUUGUAUUUAAGUAAUUUUCCUGAGGGCUGUGUGAUUGAGAGAGAGAGAUUAGUGAGGCGGUGGAUAGCAGAAGGCUUUAUCUCUGAAAAUCAUGGGCAGAGUCAGCAAGAGGUCGCAGAGUGGUAUUUCUAUGAGCUUAUCAAUAGAAGUAUGAUUCAAGCAGUGGACAUCUGCUAUGAUGGUAAGGCUCGUGCAUGUCGAGUCCAUAAUAUGAUGCUUGAACUCAUCAUUUCGAAGUCAGCUGAGGAUAAUUUUGUCAUGGUGAUUCGUAGCAGGCAGACUGGUUUGGUAAAUCGCCAUGGUUGUAUUCGACGGCUAUCAGUCCAGCACAUUGACCAGAAUAUUGCAUCUGUAUUGGCAAAUGAAGAUCUAAGCCAUGUUCGCUCUUUAACAGUAACAUCAUCAAGUUGCAUCGAACACUUGCCUAGUCUUGCUUGCUUUGAAAAUUUGCGUGUACUAGAUUUUGAAGGGUGUGAUGGAUUGGAAAAGUAUCACAUGAAGGGUCUUGGCAAGUUUUUCCAACUAAAGUACCUGAGCCUUAGGGGCACUUGGAUAUCACAUCUACCAUCAGAAGUUGUGAUGUUACGUAAUCUAGAGACCCUAGAUAUUAGGGAGACACAUGUAGAAGAGUUGCCUGCUGAAAUUGUCCACCUUACGAAGCUACAACAUCUUAUCGCUUCAACAGAUUAUGUAAUGCCUGGAAUAAAGAUACCAGAUGGAAUCGGGAAUAUGAGGAACUUACGGGUAUUGUUGGGCUGUGGUAUCAGCUCGGGUUCUGUUGGUGCACUAGAGGAGCUCGGUAACUUGACCAAUUUGAAUGAGCUCGAUGUACAGUAUUGGGGAAUAGGAUCCGAGUACAAGAGGCAUGAAGACAGGUUCCUCUCCUCAUUAAUCAAGCUUGGUAGCUGCAAGCUACAGUCUUUUAGGAUAUGGAGGAAGUGCCCUGGUGAUGUCAAGUUCUUAGAAUCAUGGCUCCCUCCGCCAUUUUCCCUCCAAAGAUUUGAGAUGAGUGGCUGCUACAGUUUCAAGUGGAUUCCAUGCUGGAUUUCACCAGCACUGACCAGUCUUGCAUACCUAGAAAUUAAUAUAGUGGAAGUAACGCAGACGGAUCUGUGCAUACUUGGAGAGAUGCCUGCCUUGCUUCACCUGGGGCUAACAUGCCAGACUUUCAGAAAAGAAAGGCUUAUUUUUUACAGCAGAGGAUUCCAGCAUUUGAAGGAAUUUGUGUAUGAUGUUUCUGUAUUGCCAUCGGGAAACCUUCUGUUUAUGGAAGGGGCACUGCCAAUGCUUGAGGAUCUUAGCCUAAUCUACUGUGUAUCAAUGGUUAAUGCCUAUGGGUUUUUCCUGGGUAUCGAGCACCUCCCAAGACUCAAAAAUGCACAAGUUCGCCUCUACAAACAGGGCGCGGCAUCUUCUGAUAUCGCUUCCGCAGAAGUUACUAUCAGGAAUGAAGCAGAUGACAAUCCCAACCGUCCCAGAGUAACUCUGGUGGAACAUGUAAAGAGAGAGGAUUAUUGCUCCGACGGUUGUCCUAACAGAACCGUGGCAGUUGAAGGACUAGAUGCCAAUACAACUAACCAGAAGGGUGGAUCUCGAAAGACAACAAAUCAAACUACAAAUCGUUGA
rnacentral:rRNA from 1 species